AAUGAAGUCAGCUUAUUCAGAUCUAUCCCAGUUCUUUUUCUGGUCAUAUUUGCCUCAGCAUAUGGGACUUUUCUAGAAUCCCAUGCUCCCCAUUGCUCAAGCACCCAAUGCUCCUGAGCUUGGAUCAAUGAGGAGGCAGUGUCAAGAUGGCAGCCUAGAAGGAGCAGAAGUUCAGACCUCUUAAUACCCUUCCUUACCGAUCACAAACUGAAUGCUACCAGGGGACUGAAAUUCAAACUUAACAAAAAGACAGAGCAAAGGAACCCUCCUGCUGGACUUAAUUCAAAAGGGGAAAGUAUGGUCAUUCAACACAACAGAAGAAUUCCAAUCAUUCAUAAAGAAUAGACCAGAUCUGAACAGAAAAUUUGACAUCCAAGCACAGAACUCAAAAGAAUCAUCAAAAGGUUAUACCCAGUUUGAUGGAGUCCAUCCUUCAUCAUCUAUAUUACAAUUAACAAAGGCAAAAGGAACAAAAAGGCAGUUAAGGCAAGAUGUGACCUUGAUGAAUCUGGUGACAAGCCUAGCAUCCUUAAGGACCUCUGGUUUUGCCAAGGAAAAAAGGUCUCACCCAGCCAUACUGUCUAUUGUGCUUCAUGGAGACACCUCCUUGGUCUACUUCUUAGUUCUUUCUCUACAUAUAAGUUAACUAAGUAUGGAUGCAGGGAAUUCCGGGUAAACAUGGCUGCAAUCUAGACACAACUUGCUUCCUCUCCUCGGCACCGAACUAAAUAGACUACAUCAAAGGAGCAUAAAAAUCACCUUUGGAGGAACAGAGGGACUCUCCAGUACCCCACAGAGGCGAAGGUAUGUGGGGUUUGAAUAUUUCCACACUAUAAGAAAGAGGAAAAGCUUGCACAGAAACGUGAACUGAGCCGCCCUUCCCCCCCCCACCUCCCCCACCAAACCACAGUGAGCUAUCUUAGCACUCACUGGGACAGCAAAUGAGUGGGGAACGUCUCUGUCUGGGGAGGCACACC
rnacentral:lncRNA from 1 species